UCGCAGCCUAAGCGACCCGCGAGGGGCGAUUAGGACAGGGGUUGGUCGGUGAGUACCCUGAUUCGGAAAUAACCCCGACAGCU
rnacentral:sRNA from 12 species